UAGGGAAUAUUAGAAAUGGACGAAUGUCUGAUCUAGCAACACCGCGUGUGCGAAGAAGGCCUUCGGGUCGUAAAGCACUUUUUGGAAGGAAUAGGAAGGAAUGUACUUCCAGAAUAAGUCUCGGCUAACUACGUGCCAGCAGCCGCGGUAACACGUAGGAGGCAAACGUUAUCCGGAUUUACUGGGCGUAAAGCGCGUGUAGGUGGUUCUGUAAGUAGGGCGUGAAAGCUCCCGGCUCAACUGGGAGAUGCCGUUCUAAACUGCAGAGCUAGAGGAUGGUAGAGGGAGGUGGAAUUCCAGGUGUAGCGGUGGAAUGCGCAGAUAUCUGGAGGAACACCAGUGGCGAAGGCGGCCUCUUGGACCAUUCCUGACACUCAGACGCGAAAGCUAGGGUAGCAAACGG
rnacentral:rRNA from 1 species